rnacentral:misc_RNA from 1 species
UACGUAGGACCCAAGCGCUAUCCGGAAUUACUGGGCGUAAAGAGUUCGUAGGCGGUAAUUUGCGUGAGAUGCGAAAUCCCAUGGCUCAACCAUGGAGCUGUAUCUCAUACGGGAUUACUGGAGGACGGCAGAGGUAGAUGGAACUAGCGGUGUAGGGGUGAAAUCCGUAGAUAUCGCUAAGAACACCAAUGGCGAAGGCAGUCUACUGGGCCGUUUCUGACGCUGAGGAACGAAAGCGUGGGGAGCGAACGGG